ACGAACGCUGGCGGCGUGGAUAAGGCAUGCAAGUCACGGGGGCCGCAAGGCAACCGGCGAACGAGGUAGUAACACGUAGGAAUCUCCCCCAGAGUCGGGAAUAGCUCAUCGAAAGAUGGGGUAAUACCCGAUGGUCUCGUAAGAGUAAAGCAGCAAUGCGCUUUGGGAAGAGCCUGCGGGAUAUCAGCUAGUUGGUAGGGUAAUGGCCUACCAAGGCGAUGACGUCUAGGGGACCUGAGAGGGUGACCCCCACCGAUGGGACUGCGACACGGCCCAUACACCUACGGGUGGCAGCAGCCGAGAAUAUUCGACAAUGGACGAAAGUCUGAUCGAGCGACGCCGCGUGAUGGAUGAAGUCCUUCGGGAUGUAAACAUCUUUUCCAGGGGAGAAAUUUUUGAUGUUACCCUGGGAAUAAGAGGUUGCUAAACUCGU
rnacentral:rRNA from 1 species